rnacentral:rRNA from 1 species
UACGUAGGGGGCAAGCGUUGUCCGGAUUCAUUGGGCGUAAAGAGCGUGUAGGCGGCCAGGUAGGUCGGUUGUGAAAACUGGAGGCUCAACCUUCAGAGGUCGACUGAAACCAUCUGGCUAGAGUCCGGGAGAGGAGAGUGGAAUUCCUGGUGUAGCGGUGAAAUGCGCAGAUAUCAGGAGGAACACCGGUGGCGAAGGCGGUUCUCUGGGCAUUACCUGACGCUGAGGAGCGAAAGUGUGGGGAGCGAACAGG